CUUGCGGCCAGAUCACGUUGAAACACCUGUUCUCGCCAGAUCACCGAAUUUAAGCAAUAUUGAGCCUGGUCAGUAUCAAGGUGGGUGACCACUUAGGAACACCAGCUGCUGUAA